GGGCUAAGAGCUCAAACGAGUCACAAUAGGGAGGCUAGUGACCCCCAUCCAUUCCCAUGGCAUCGUUUGAAGGGCUCUGGAGCCAGCCGCCUGGGUUCGAAUCCUGACUGUCCCCCUCACCAGGCUCUGGGGAGGAAAGGGAGCCCAUGGCAGACCAGACCCCUGGCCGGCCAGGGUCCCCGGGGUCUGCGAGGAGGACGUUCAUGGGCGAGUGUGUGGUGGUGGGUGAACUGCGGCAGAACCCGAGAUUAACAGCUGGAACCCUCUCCUCUUGCAGAUGAGGAAACCAGGGAAAUCAAGGGUGUUUGAGUGACUGACCGAAAGUCACACAGCUAGGAAGUAAAGGAGCCAGGAUACAGGCCCAGAGCUCUGGUUUUAUCUGAAACCAAAACCAGAAGUUCCUCUUCCAGCUGCCCACCACCUCUCUGAGUAUCAGCCCUGCUAAUGACAAUGAUAACAUCAGCUCUGCAGCAUCGUUCUAAGCACUGUACGUUAAUGCGAUCAGUUAAUAAAAGCAUCUUGCCUUAAUUAAUUUACUCCUCUCAAUAACCCUUUGAGGCACCAGCUAAUGCAGUACAUCUGUGAGCAGUCGCUUGCUCCUCACAGCAGGACCAUGGGAUUGAUGCCGUCAUUACCAUCCUCCCCAUGUUAUAGAUGAGGAUAUUGAAGAGAGGUGACAUCUAAAUGCAAGCUGGUAUCCUGGAUUAGAUCCCAGAACAGAAAAAGGACAUUGGUGGAAAAA
rnacentral:lncRNA from 1 species